AGCAGAUCUAGUUUAGGAUUGCGUUUUGGAGGAGUGCCAGAGAGGCCUUCCCCUCUCGGAGUCUCCGGCCUUCUGGAGGUGAGCAUGCCUCUGUGUGUGUGCGUGCGUGCGUGCGUGCAUGUGUGUGUGUGUGUGUGUGUGUGUGUUACCGUUCUGAGGGUACAGAGUCUGUGCAGGAGGUCCCGGGCGUCCUGCCUGGUGAUCCCGGGCGGGAGGGGGCCCAGAGCAGAGUCCCAGGAGCUGCAGUUCAGCUCGGGCUCCAUGGCUGCCGGCUCCGCCCCUCACACACACAUCCUGAGGACCGCAACACUCGUUAAUUAACUGUAGCUCCGCCCCCCGAAACACUCGUUAGUGAACUGACAAAGAAGGGAAGAAUAAAAACAAUUAGAGAGAGGAGGAAGGCAACUAAGAGCGAAAGAAAGAAAGAAAGAAAGAAAGAAAGAAAGAAAGAAAGAAAGAAAGAAAGAAAGAAAGAAAGAAAGAAAGAAAGAAAGAAAGAAAGAAAGAAAGAAAGAAACACAAACAAACUAAGAAGGAAGGAAAGACAAAAGGAAGGAAGAGUGAAAGAGAGAAAGAAAGGAAGGAGUGAUGAUCAUCAGAAGUGCGGACCGGACCCCAGACAGAAGGAACCCCAAGAAGCUCUGCUGAGACCCCCAAGGUGACCCCCCCCCUGUGGUUCCUCUCCACCAAUAGAAUCUAAACCAAGCGACCACACGGGGGUUCAAACACCAAGGCUCCCUGACCAGCAGAGGACCAGGACCGGAGCUGGGGAUGAACGAAGGCUCCCUGACCAGCAGAGGACCAGGACCGGAGCUGGGGAUGAACGAAGGCUCCCUGAGGGCUGUGCUCUGAGCGACAGGAAGCCUGCUGCCGGCUGUUAUCCACAGUUUCCACCAGCAUGACGUCACAGGGCGCCCCCCCACCCUGCCCGCUGUGGAACGGGACACAUCUGUGUUGACACAGCGCUGCCAUCCAUCACACCAGGCGGGGGGGGGGGGCACAGAACCUCCAGAGCAACAGCACCUCCUCCUGAUGAAGAGCUGAUGGA
ensembl:lncRNA